rnacentral:rRNA from 1 species
AACGGGUGCGGAACACGUACACAACCUUCCUUUAAGCGGGGAAUAGCCCGGGGAAACCCGGAUUAAUACCCCAUAGUAUGGUGAAGAGGCAUCUCUUUACUAUUAAAGAUUUAUCACUUGAAGAUGGGUGUGCGGCUGAUUAGCUAGUUGGCGGGGUAACGGCCCACCAAGNNAACGAUCAGUAACUGGUGUGAGAGCACGACCAGUCACACGGGCACUGAGACACGGGCCCGACUCCUACGGGAGGCAGCAGUAAGGAAUAUUGGUCAAUGGACGAAAGUCUGAACCAGCCAUGCCGCGUGGAGGAUGAAGGUCCUCUGGAUUGUAAACUUCUUUUAUAUGGGACGAAAAAAGGCUUUUCUAAGUCGUCUGACGGUACCAUAUGAAUAAGCACCGGCUAACUCCGUGCCAGCAGCCGCGGUAAUACGGAGGGUGCAAGCGUUAUCCGGAUUCACUGGGUUUAAAGGGUGCGUAGGUGGGUUGGUAAGUCAGUGGUGAAAUCCCCGAGCUUAACUUGGGAACUGCCAUUGAUACUAUCAGUCUUGAAUACCGUGGAGGUCAGCGGAAUAUGUCAUGUAGCGGUGAAAUGCUUAGAUAUGACA